rnacentral:tRNA from 2 species
GGUCCGUUCGUCUAGGGGUUAGGACAGUAGAUUUUCAUUCUACCAACAGGGGUUCGAUUCCCCUACGGACUACGA